CCUACGGGUGGCUGCAGUGGGGAAUAUUGCACAAUGGGGGAAACCCUGAUGCAGCGACGCCGCGUGAGUGAAGAAGUAUUUCGGUAUGUAAAGCUCUAUCAGCAGGGAAGAAAAUGACGGUACCUGAGUAAGAAGCCCCGGCUAACUAGGUGCCAGCAGCCGCGGUAAUACGUAGGGGGCAAGCGUUAUCCGGAUUUACUGGGUGUAAAGGGAGCGUAGACGGCAAAGAAAGUCUGAAGUGAAAACCCUGGGCUCAACCUCGGGACUGCUUUGGAAACUGGGUAGCUGGAGUUCUGGAGAGGUAUGCGGAAUUCCUAGUGUAGCGGUGAAAUGCGUAGAUAUUAGGAGGAACACCAGUGGCGAAGGCGGCUUACUGGACGGUAACUGACGUUGAGGCUCGAAAGCGUGGGGAGCAAACAGGAUUAGAUACCCUAGUAGUC
rnacentral:rRNA from 1 species